GCCAGGCAUGGUGGCGCAUGCCUGUAAUCCCAGCUACCCGGGAGGCUGAGGCAGGAGAAUCGCUUGAACCUGGGAGGCAGAGGUUGCAGUGAGCCAAGACUGCACCACUGCACUCUAGCCUGGGUGAUGGAGCGAGCCUCUGUCUCAA
rnacentral:SRP_RNA from 1 species